rnacentral:rRNA from 1 species
AGGACGAACGCUGGCGGCGUGCCUAAUACAUGCAAGUCGAACGGAGUCCAUUCGGUGGCAACACCGAGGAAGACUUAGUGGCGAACGGGUGCGGAACACGUGAGCAACCUGCCCCAAAGACUGGGAUAACACCGGGAAACCGAUGCUAAUACCGGAUACCCCAUUGGUUCGCAUGGACCGAUGAGGAAAGGAAUCUGCUUUGGGAGGGCUCGCGGCCUAUCAGCUUGUUGGUGGGGUAAUGGCCUACCAAGGCGACGACGGGUAGC